GCCGCCGUAGCUCAGCGGGUUAGAGCGCCGGACUCAUACAAUCCGGAGGUCCCGGGUUCAAAUCCCGGCGGCGGCA
rnacentral:tRNA from 1 species